GGAUAGCUCAGUUGGUUAGAGUGUGGUGCUGAUAACUCCAAGGUUGCAGGUUUGAACCCCAUAACGGACAGCUGCA